rnacentral:rRNA from 1 species
UACGUAGGGGGCAAGCGUUGUCCGGAAUUAUUGGGCGUAAAGAGCUCGUAGGCGGUCUGUCGCGUCUGCUGUGAAAACUCAGGGCUUAACCCUGAGCUUGCAGUGGGUACGGGCAGACUAGAGGUAGGCAGGGGAGAGCGGAACUCCUGGUGUAGCGGUGAAAUGCGCAGAUAUCAGGAGGAACACCGAUGGCGAAGGCAGGUCUCUGGGCCGAUACUGACGCUGAGGAGCGAAAGUGUGGGGAGCGAACAGG